UACAGAGGGUGCAAGCGUUAAUCGGAAUUACUGGGCGUAAAGCGCGCGUAGGUGGUUUGUUAAGUUGGAUGUGAAAUCCCCGGGCUCAACCUGGGAACUGCAUUCAAAACUGACAAGCUAGAGUAUGGUAGAGGGUGGUGGAAUUUCCUGUGUAGCGGUGAAAUGCGUAGAUAUCGGAAAGAACACCAGUGGCGAAAGCGACUUCCUGGACCAAUACUGACACUUAGGUGCGAAAGCGUGGGGAGCAAACAGGAUUAGAAACCCGGGUAGU
rnacentral:rRNA from 1 species